rnacentral:rRNA from 1 species
UACGAAGGGGACUAGCGUUGUUCGGAAUCACUGGGCGUAAAGCGCACGUAGGCGGAUUAGUAAGUCAGGGGUGAAAUCCCGGGGCUCAACCUCGGAACUGCCUUUGAUACUGCUGAUCUCGAGUCCGAUAGAGGUGGGUGGAAUUCCUAGUGUAGAGGUGAAAUGCGUAGAUAUUAGGAAGAACACCGGUGGCGAAGGCGGCCCACUGGAUCGGUACUGACGCUGAGGUGCGAAAGCGUGGGGAGCAAACAGG